rnacentral:lncRNA from 1 species
AUAAAUAACAAAUAUAAAAUUGUACACAUCACUUUCAAUUAGGUAUUAACCACCCACUUACUAACUUACCCAUCCUCUCACAAGCAUGCUGCUACAAGUCUAUAUUUGAUCAUCAUUUGCCUGCUUCGUCGGGAAAUUUUCGUAGGAAAUUAUGCACUAUUCUAGUAAACAUUCAUAAGCUGGUCAAUAAUGGAUUUUUCAUGAGGAAGCCUACCAAGGUUCACUCGUGCUAAUCGUAUAAAGGAAAGGGUCGUUAUUCUUACAGGUUUCAACUUCUAAGGUGAGUCUACAAACAAUUGUUCCUUUUCAUAAUUAAGGUAGGGAAGUUAUACUAUAUAUGGUGGGUGAUGAAUUAUGGUUUCAAACUUUGAAUCCUGGAAUCUUGAAUAUUGUUUAUUGAUUGUGAAUUUGUGAUUUCGGGGAGUCUUUUAUUGAUUCAAUGACGUAAUUAAAAGUGUUGGGUCAUUGGUUUCUUCCUGAAUUCUAUCAAGGCUUGCAUGGGGUUGACUAUAGUUAUCUUAUUUGAUGGCUAUUAUCCUUACUAACACAAAAAACUAGUUUGAUGUGAUUGGACAAGUGAUCAGCCAGUUUUGUUGUUAUAAUGUUUGUGUUUCAUUGGUAAAGGCAAAGUCUU